UAUGGGAGUGAGAAUGUUGGCAUGAGUAGCGAGAUGUGGGUGAGAAUCCCACAGGCCGUAAACCCAAGGUUUCCAGGGGAAGGUUCGUCCGCCCUGGGUUAGUCGGAACCUAAGCUGAGGCCGAAAGGCGUAGGUGAUGGACAACAGGUUGAUAUUCCUGUACUACCGAUAACCAUUUGAGAGAAGGGAUGACACAGUAGGAUAAGCUAAGCACACUGUUGGUUAUGUGUGCCCAAGCAUUGAGGCAGUCAAAGUAGGCAAAUCCGCUUUGAUAAU
rnacentral:rRNA from 1 species